rnacentral:rRNA from 1 species
UACGGGGGGGGCAAGCGUUGUUCGGAAUUACUGGGCGUAAAGGGCUCGUAGGUGGCCAACUAAGUCAGACGUGAAAUCCCCAGGCUUAACCUGGGAACUGCGUCUGAUACUGGAUGGCUUGAAUUCGGGAGAGGGAUGCAGAAUUCCAGGUGUAGCGGUGAAAUGCGUAGAUAUCUGGAGGAAUACCGGUGGCGAAGGCGGCAUCCUGGACCGGCAUUGACGCUGAGGAGCGAAAGCCAGGGGAGCAAACGGG